rnacentral:rRNA from 1 species
UUUAUGGAGAGUUUGAUCCUGGCUCAGGAUGAACGCUGGCGGCGUGCCUAAUACAUGCAAGUCGAGCGAACGGACGAGAAGCUUGCUUCUCUGAUGUUAGCGGCGGACGGGUGAGUAACACGUGGAUAACCUACCUAUAAGACUGGGAUAACUUCGGGAAACCGGAGCUAAUACCGGAUAAUAUUUUGAACCGCAUGGAUCAAAAGUGAAAGACGGUCUUGCUGUCACUUAUAGAUGGAUCCGCGCUGCAUUAGCUAGUUGGUAAGGUAACGGCUUACCAAGGCAACGAUGCAUAGCCGACCUGAGAGGGUGAUCGGCCACACUGGAACUGAGACACGGUCCAGACUCCUACGGGAGGCAGCAGUAGGGAAUCUUCCGCAAUGGGCGAAAGCCUGACGGAGCAACGCCGCGUGAGUGAUGAAGGUCUUCGGAUCGUAAAACUCUGUUAUUAGGGAAGAACAUAUGUGUAAGUAACUGUGCACAUCUUGACGGUACCUAAUCAGAAAGCCACGGCUAACUACGUGCCAGCAGCCGCGGUAAUACGUAGGUGGCAAGCGUUAUCCGGAAUUAUUGGGCGUAAAGCGCGCGUAGGCGGUUUUUUAAGUCUGAUGUGAAAGCCCACGGCUCAACCGUGGAGGGUCAUUGGAAACUGGAAAACUUGAGUGCAGAAGAGGAAAGUGGAAUUCCAUGUGUAGCGGUGAAAUGCGCAGAGAUAUGGAGGAACACCAGUGGCGAAGGCGACUUUCUGGUCUGUAACUGACGCUGAUGUGCGAAAGCGUGGGGAUCAAACAGGAUUAGAUACCCUGGUAGUCCACGCCGUAAACGAUGAGUGCUAAGUGUUAGGGGGUUUCCGCCCCUUAGUGCUGCAGCUAACGCAUUAAGCACUCCGCCUGGGGAGUACGACCGCAAGGUUGAAACUCAAAGGAAUUGACGGGGACCCGCACAAGCGGUGGAGCAUGUGGUUUAAUUCGAAGCAACGCGAAGAACCUUACCAAAUCUUGACAUCCUU